CAGCCAUCCACACGACCAUGGAUAACUAUUUAGCAAAUCUUAUAUAAGUCACUGGGUUUCAUCCCUGUCCACAAAACUCUUUGAUUGUGAAAUGCUGUGGUAGAUGCAAAUUGGGGGGGGAAGAAAGAUUUCAAAUUUGAAGACUCCAUGGCGCCCCUUGUGUUGUGCUACAUGUGCUUUCAAACGCUGAUCCAGUUGGCAUGUGAUCGCCUCAACCUUCUUCUUUUGGGUCCAUCUUGAAAAGCAAAUACAAUGGUGUUUUUUUUUGGCCUUGGCCUUCCUGGUUUCUUUUGUUUUGUUUUUUUCAUGUAAAUGUUCUGUUAUUUUACUGAUCAUCUCAAAUCCCAACUGGAUGGCACUAUGAGUUUUUGCAAGAGACAGACAUGUCGCUGUCCCAAAAAAAUUUGAGCUCUGAAAAGCAAUCGAAUGUGGUCAUGUAAUAGUGUCCAAGGGCCUAUGGAGAAAUCAGAACGGUCCAAUAAGGCUGCCAAGGAAAAACAAAACGUGAAGAACGGGACCAAUUCUUUGUCAGAUUGGUCUGCAAAUUCACGCGUUUCACAAAACCCAGCCUCAUGUCUGAAUCAAUUGGCUUUAGAGAAUUGUGUUCUAGAAAGAAAGAAAAACGUGGGUUUGGAAUUGGAUAUAUUUUAUGUUUUUUUUCCUGGACUAAAUAAUUGGAGGAGGAGGAGGAGGAGGAUGAGUAGGAGGACGGAGAAAUCAAAGUCAAAACUUUGGGUGCAAAAAUUAAUGUUGUUAACUACGUGAGUUACAUCAAUGAGGUGUUAGUUGGAUUGGUUUAAAUGUUUGGUGUGUUUUCAAGUGGUCUCGGGUUCAAACUCUUAUAGUAUUUGUGUGUGUGACAGGACGUUCGCCUAUGAUAGUUUAGGUUCAAGUCUGUUGUUUUGUUUUAUAAAUUAGGGCCAGUUUGGCAUUGCUGUGUUGUAAAAAUAAUCGCUGUCAGAUUUACUGUGAGAGAAAGCAGUUUGGCGUUUGGUAAACUUUUUGUUAAAAGUGUUGUUGGUACUAAUUCCCACAUAAUCAGAAAAUGAUUGCCGCAUAAUCAUUAAAC
rnacentral:lncRNA from 1 species